GUAUUAUGUCCGGUAUAAAAGCAGUUUACAACCCGUAGGGCCGUCUUCCUGCACGCGGCAUGGCUGGUCCAGGCUUCCGCCCAUUGACCAAUAUACCUUACUGCUGCCUCCCGUAGGCCCCCCGUGCCCCCGCCCCGCCCGCCGCGCGCGGCAGGCGGAGGCGGGGGC
rnacentral:rRNA from 1 species